GAUGCUCUUGCUGUGAGUGGAAUGUGCUCCAGCGUGCUGUGCUCCACUCACUGAGAAAAUGAAAGAUUCGGAGAGACCACAGAUUAAUGAUCUCCAGUUGGCCGGUUUCACUUGUGUAAGUAACAGCAGGGCCCCCUGCUUGUUUGGUGUAGAAGAUAGCUGGAGAAGAAAGCAGAACUAUGGCUGGAAAAUGAACUGAAACUCCUGCUAAUUACCAAAACAUAUGAGAGUCCCUGUGUACCAUGAAGACUGUGACUUUAAGAUGUGAACAACGACCAGAACUUAUGUUUUCUGAAAUGAUAAAAUGAAGCCAGCAACACUGAAAAUAUGGGAAAAAAAAUGCAAUUAUGCCAUCCACCACUGAUCUUAUACAAACAGUGUGAGAGUCAGUGCCUACAGGACCACUCUGAGCAGUCACAGUGAAUCCGUACAGCUAGUCGUGCCCAUUUCUGUGGAUUGUUCCUUGUCAUUGUAGCCCUGGAAUCACAGGUAUGACUGCCAGGCUGAAUCCUCCUCUGAAACGUCCUUUGUCGGGAAGGUGCAAAGC